CUUGGGGGGUAGGGGUCCCUCAGCCCGAAUUGCGAGAGGGCGCAGGCAAGGCUGAGGGACCCCAUCGGUGCAGA
rnacentral:pre_miRNA from 1 species